rnacentral:rRNA from 1 species
GACGAACGCUGGCGGCGUGCUUAACACAUGCAAGUCGUACGGUAAGGCCCUUUCGGGGGUACACGAGUGGCGAACGGGUGAGUAACACGUGAGUAACCUGCCCACAACUUUGGGAUAACGCUAGGAAACUGGUGCUAAUACUGGAUAUGUGCUACUGCUGCAUGGGGGGGGUUGGAAAGCUCCGGCGGUUGUGGAUGGACUCGCGGCCUAUCAGCUUGUUGGUGGGGUAGUGGCCUACCAAGGCGGCGACGGGUAGCCGGCCUGAGAGGGUGACCGGCCACACUGAGACUGAGAUACGGCCCAGACUCCUACGGGAGGCAGCAGGGGGGAAUAUUGCACAAUGGGCGCAAGCCUGAUGCAGCAACGCCGCGUGCGGGAUGACGGCCUUCGGGUUGUAAACCGCUUUCAGCAGGGACGAAGCUUUUUGUGACGGUACCUGCAGAAGAAGCACCGGCUAACUACGUG